UCCUCCCCACCCCCAUCCCCUCCUCCUCCCCCUCCUCCCGGCGCACGUGGGGCGGAGUUCUAGAACGUCGUGUAACCAAUGCCGGUGACGUCACGCACCCCGGUGCGGCCCCCGCCUGCCGCGCGCGCACACUCGGCCCCCCGCAGCCGGACCCACGGGGGCGGUGCGCGAACCCCGCGGCCCGAGGGGCCCCGCCUCCGGGCGGGCCGGGCCGGGGGGCGGGGGGAGCGCACCCCGACUUCCCUCGAUCACAUGGGCUGCGUGGGGAGGGUGGAUCGGGGGAGGGGGAAGCGCGGGGAGCUGGCCACCGCUCCGCACUCGGGCUGGGGAGAAGACGCCCCCCACCCCUUCUAGGUCGGCCUCUCCAUUCAAGUUCCCCAGCCCCAGCCGCCGGGAUCCGGGGAUGGCACCAGCCGCCCUCCCGGCUCUGCGCCCUUUUUCCAGCCACCGCGCAGAAAUUUAGGUCAAGGACGUCGGGAUCAAACCCAGACCCUGGCGCUCCUCGGGCGGCCCCCGAGACCCCUCUAGGUCGGGGGCCUUCAGGAUUGCGGAGACCCUCCCGCACCAACGCCAGCCACAAGUUUUAUUUUCCUCUCGCGCUGGAAGUUCUCUCUGGCUCUCGCUCCAAACCGGCACGUCUUGCGCCGCUCCCCGCCCUUCCCUGGCAGAGGUAAGUCUCUUAGAAAUACCCGGAUCUUGUUCAUUUAUUUAUUCACCUGACUGGUCGCAGAGCUGAUUAAGAAGAAAGCUGACUCCUGCCUCCCAGUCUUGGGUCCAUUUCAUCCAUUUCCAAACAUAAAGCCUCCAGCUGCAUCGGGAAGAUCUUGGCCAGUUUAAAAAGGCAGAGUUUGGAUUUGUGUGCAGCGAUUUCAGGAAUGUGGGGUUUUCUGGCUUGUGUGUGUGGAUGGCACCGCAGAGGGGAAAUAAAACAGUCUUGCUGCCUUGCAUGUAGGGUCUUACUAGUAGUUAGGUGACUUUGAGCUGACAAGCCCCCCCCCCAUCUCAAGGGCAUCAUCCAUACAUGAAGAAUCACGAUGCUUUUAAAAUAGCUCCACAAAUUCUUUGGUGCUCUUGCAAGAGGUGGAGCCUAAUUUUAGCCCCGGCGCCCUGAGCAUGGACUGCACUGAGUCACUGGCUUCGAAUGAACAGAACGUGGAAGAGAUGAUGGCAGGCGAAUUCUGAGGCUAGGGCAGAAAAAGCACGUGGCCUCUGCCUUGCUCUCUCUCCAGGGUCACUCUAGAGGAAGCCAGUUUCCAUACCAUCAGGAUGCUCCAGUAGCCUGAUAGGUCCACCCACGUGGAGGAGAACUCUAGUUUCCUGUCGACAACCCAAACCACGAUUGUGAGACGUCUUAAAGGCACAUCCACCAGCCCCAGCCGAGCCUUCGGAUGACAGCUACCCCAGCCCACGUCUCCAGAGCAACUCCACGGGAGACCUUGGGUCGGAACCUCCCAGCCAAGCCACUCCCAAUUCCCCGACCCUCAGAACCUGUGUGAGACGAUACAUACUCGCUUGAAGCUACUGAGCUUCAGGGGUAAUUGGUGGCACAGCCGAGAUGACUAAUAUGGAGAUACUUCAAAAUGUGUGAAAACAGAGCUGCUUUACUUUAUAGGCGAGCAGCAGGACUUCCUAUGCUCAUGUUUUGAGAGGGCUUUCGUUAGACGCUGGCCAAAUGAACUGCAUAUUAGAUAUAAAGUAGCGAUUGCAUAUUAUUAAUGGUAUCAGAUAGCAACACAUUUCAUGUUCAAUUACCUACAGUGCUCUUGCUGGAGCAUCGCUUUGCUCAUCUUCUUAUCCCCACUGCACACUUACAAAAGGUCACUGUCGAGAUAUAAAAGUAUACGUGUGAUUUAAAUGUCUUGACUCAGUUACUAACAACCAUGAGCGUGUUUCCACAUUGGAAGAGCAAGAUCCAUUUAAACUUGCUCUUUUUUCGGAGCGCUCUCUGUUUACUUUUCGGUAUUGGGUUUCACCAGCAGGCCAAGCACCUCUCUGCUUAAAGAGUCUGUUCACUUUGUCUCCUGGAGCCUCACAAGCCUGACUCUUCAGGACAGACAUGGCCAACUUUGCACUGAAAAAGCAAACCAGUGUUUUUUACCAGAAAAUAUGAAGUGAAAUGAAUUUUUUAUUCAUGAAAAUUCCACCGAGUAUAAAUUCCCUGUCUAAAAGGAAUGGGGCCUUUGUAUUUCCCUUAAGUAAAUAAAUAGCUUCUUUCCUCAA
rnacentral:lncRNA from 9 species